GGGAAACCCUGACUGUUAUUUUUUUUCCCACUCAUAUUGGCCCUCUCUUGUUCCGUCUGAGAAUAAUAAAACAGAACAAAAUCUGUAGUCAACCUCGGACUAACCCUAGACUACAAGCUGAUUUUCAGGGAGCACAUUGGCAAAACGAAUACCAAGUGCAACUUCUUGAUAAGAUCACUGUAUCCUCUUAACAGGAAGUCCACCCUUUCGCUGAAAAACAAGCUUACUAUCUACAAACAGAUCAUUCUUUCAGUUAUUGAAUAAGGCAUGCCAACCUGGAAGAGUUGUGCUAAGCGCCACCAUUUUAAACUUCAAAGGAUCCAGAAUAAGAUCCUUAGAAUGAUCCUAAACAGUACUGCAAAUCCUGACGUCCACCGUCUGGAUGUUCUCCAGACACUGGAUGAGCGGAGAACAAUCUUCGUGGAAAGGUUCAGAAUUUGCUGCGGACGAUCCGAUCAACAUAUCAGGGAUCGGGCACGAAUGUUAAGUUGGUAGAAAUUAACAAAUAAAAAAACACGCUGUCUAAAUAAGUUAUAUGCCUAUGUAAAAUAAUAAGAUCCAAAUCAAACUUAACAAAGAUCAAGAGCUGUACAGAAUCAUAUGAAAUAAAAAAUCAUAUUCAAUUAAUUUGAAAUUUGUCGUUUUAUUGGUCACGAUAGCGAUCGUUAGUAUAAAUUGUGUAUCUGGUCAAGGAUGAAACUGUAGGAAAAUAUUACAAUAAGAUCCAGUGGAAAUAAAACAUCGUUUAGUAGUAGAAGAAGCAUUUUCAGAUAUAAAUUAAGUUGCCAAUAUAGUUCAUAUGGUGGUUGGCUAUGCUGCGUAUGAUUAUUGUAAAUAGAUAGGCCUAAUCUGUGCGGCAUGUGAGGGGAGGUGACAGUGUGACAAUUGUCACCUCAGGUGAGGUGACUCUCAAUUUGAUUUGCACGGAGUCUUCACAAAUGACAGCGUGUCACCUCAGCUCACACGCCGCGCAGAAUAGGCCUAAAGGCCCAAGCGCAAGAACAGUGGAGAAGCCCGAUCUGAGUAAGCCUACUUGCCGGAUUUAAAACUAGUUAAAACGGAAUCGACUUCGGUUAGGCAUCUUGAUGCCAUUUGUGACUGUCAAACUUGCCGUUACCGUUCCGCUUCCGCCCACAUUGCGUUUGGGCCUUAAGAAUUUAAAAUCUAUGAAACAGAGUUUUAAAAAUCUGUCUCAAUUACAUUGUUUGUUGUUUCCAAUGUGUUCACCGAAAAGCAAUGCAUGUUCCAAAAAAUUAAACAAAAACAGUGCAGCCAGUAUGAUCCUGAAACAUCUCAGUGUGAAUAAACUUCUAAUUUAACCAGAAAUAGAGCAUCUAAGCACAGGUGUUAUUUUUAAAAACUUACCUGGACGUCCCAGCACAACGUAGAAAUCCAGACCGUAGAUACCGAUCGAUGGGUCGUACUUGAUGCCCAGAUCGAUAUGUUCUUGGAUA